rnacentral:rRNA from 1 species
GACGAACCGUGCGAACGUUAUUCGGAAUCACUGGGCUUAAAGCGCGUGUAGGCGGAUGGGAACGUCGGCUUCUGAAAGCCCCCCGGCUCAACCGGGGAAGUGGGGCCGAAACGACCCGUCUCGAGGGACGUAGGGGGAUCUGGAACUUCCGGUGGAGCGGUGAAAUGCGUUGAGAUCGGAAGGAACGCCCGUGGCGAAAGCGAGAUCCUGGACGUUUUCUGACGCUGAGACGCGAAAAGCUAGGGGGAGCAAACGGGG